GGCUGGAGUGCAGUGGUACGAUAUCGGCUCACUGCAAACUCCGUCUCCUGGGCUCAAGCGAUUCUCAUGCCUCAGCCUCCCAAUUAGCUGGGAUUACAGGCGCCCACCAGCACACCCGGCUAAUUUUUGUAUUUUUAGUGGAGAUGAGGUUUCACCAUGUUGGCCAGGCUGGUCUCAAACUCCUUACCUCAAAUGAUCCACCCACCUCAGCCUCCCAAACUGCUGGGAUUACAGGCAUCAACCACAGUGCUGGGCCCAAAAUCACAAAGAUCUUGAACUAAGUACUUUGAGUCAUCAACCUAAUGCCAGGAACCACCUGCCUCCAGAAUUUCUAUCAGGAGAAAGAGAACACUCACCUGAUAAAUCCACCAUCCAGCAUCAGCGAACACUUCCAUCUCUGCUUCUACACCUGGCUCUGAAAGUGGCUGGAAGACCUCUGAACACACGCAUCUGAGAUAAGCAAGCCCUGACCAUAAAUUGCAAAGAUUCCACCUACAGAUGGCUAUGCAAUCCCAAUACCAGCCUGUAACAGCAACUUCCAUUUGCAUGGGGCCUUUUGAUGGAACCCGGUUUUCCCUGUCCUGAACGAGUUUUUCGUGACCCUUCAUUCCCUUCAUGACAGAGCAAGAAAGGAAAAAAUGCAACCUAUCCCUUCAAUGCCCCCUUUCAGCAGGAAGUAACCAGACUCCACACUCCUCUUCACUGUGGUGUUUUCCCUUUCUUGAGACCCCAAUUGUCAGGCCUGAGCCCAAGCUAAGUGAUCAUAUCCCCUGCGACCUGCACAUAUAUAUCCAGAUGGCCUGAAGCAACUGAAGAACCACAAAAGAAGUGAAAAUAGCCAGUUCCUGCCUUAACUGAUGGCAUUCCACCACUGUGAUUUGUUCCUGCCCCACCCUAACUGACCAAUUGACCUUGUGACAUUCCUUCUCCGGGGCAAUGAAUCUCAGGAGCUCCCCACCAAGCAUCUUGUGACCCCCACUCCUGCCCACAAGAGAACAACCCCCUUUAACUGUAAUUUUCCACUACCUACCCAAAUCCUAUAAAACUGUCCCACCCCAUCUCUCUCCCUUUGCUGACUCCUUUUUCAGAUUCGCCCACCUACGCCCAGGUGAUUAAAAAGCUUUAUUGCUCACACAAAGACUGUUUGGUGGUCUCUUCACACGGACGCAUGUAACAUUUGGUGCUGAAGACCUGGGACAGGGGGAUUCCUUCAGGAGACUGGUCCCCUGUCCUCGCCCUCACUCCUUGAGGAGAUCCACCUACGACCUUGGGUCCUGAAAUCAGCCCAAGGAACAUCUCACCAAUUUCAAAUCAGGUAAGUGGUCUCUUCACUCUCUUCUCCAGCCUCUCUCACUACCCUUCAGUCUCCCUGUGCUUCCAAUUCCAGCUCUUUUUCCUCUCUAGCAGAGACAAAGGAGACACAUUUUAUCCGUGAACUCAAAAACUCCAACGUCGGUCACAAAUUUAGGAAGACAGUCUUCCCUUGGUGUCUGAUCACUGCAGGGAUGCCUGCCUUGAUCAUUCACCCACAUUCCAUUGGUGUCUGAUCACUGCGGGGAUGCCUGCCUUGGUCAUUUACCCACAUUUCCUUGGUGGUAAGUCAACUGUGGGGAUGCCUGCUUUGGCUGCUCACCCAUAUUACAGCCCAGGGCUGCUCACCCCUGCCCUCCACCCUGUGUCUCUACCUUUCUCUUUAGACUUACCUCCUUCACUAUGGGCAACUUUCUGCCCUCCAUUCCCCCUUCUUCUCCCUUAGCCUGUGUUCUUAAAAACCUAAAACCCCUUCAACUAACACCUGACCUAAAACCUAAACAUCUUAUUUUCUUCUGUAAUACCACUUGGCCCCAAUACAAACUCGAAAAUAGUUCCAAGUGGCCAGAGAAUGGCACUUUCGAUUUGUCUAUCCUACAAGACCUAGAUAAUUUUUGUCGAAAAUUGGGCAAAUGGUCUGAGGUGCCUGACGUCUAAGCAUUCUUUACACAUUGGUCCCUCCCUAGUCUCUGCUCCCAAUAUGACUCGUCCCAAAUCUUUCUUCUUUCUCUCCUGUCUGUUCCUUCAGGCUCCACCCCAAGCUCUGAGCCCUUUGAAUCCUCCUUUUCUACAGACCCAUCUGACCUUUCCCCAUUCCCCAGGCUGCUCCUCGCCAGGCCAAGCCAGAUCUCAAUUCUUCCUCAGCCUCUGCUCCUCCACCCUAUAAUCCUUCUAUCACCUCCCCUCCUCACACCCGGUCCGGCUUACAGUUUCGUUCCGUGGCUAGCCCUCCCCUACCUGCCCAACAAUUUCCUCUUACAGAGGUGGCUGGAGCUGAAGGCAUAGUCAAGGUUAAUGCUCCUUUUUCUUUAUCCGACCUCUCCCAAAUCAGUUAGCGUUUAGGCUCUUUUUCAUCAAAUAUAAAAACCCAGCCCAGUCCAUGGCCUGUUUGGCAACAACCCUUAGACACUUUACCACCCUAGAUCCAGAGGGGCCAGAAGGCCGUCUUAUUCUUAAUAUGCAUUUUAUUAUCCAAUCCACUCCUGACAUUAGAAAAAGCUCCAAAAAUUAGAUUCCGGCCCUCAAACCCCACAACAGGACUUAAUUAACCUUGCCUUCAAGGUGUACAAUAAUAGAGAAGAGGCAGCCGAGCGGCAGUGUAUUUCUCAAUUGCAAUUACUUGCCUCCACUGUGAGAGAAACCCCAGCCACAUCUCCAGCACAUAAGAACUUCAAAACGCCUAAACCAUAGCAGUCAGGCAUUCCUCCUGGACUUUUUCCCCCAGGAUCUUGCUCCAAGUGCUGGAAAUCUGGCCAGUGGGCCAAGGAAUGCCCACAGCCUGGGAUUCCUCCUAAGCCAUGUCCCAUCUGUGCAGGACCCCACUGGAAAUCAGACUGUCCAACUUGCCCAGCAGCCAUUCCUAGAGCCCCUGGAACUCUGGCCCAAGGCUCUCUGACUGACUCCUUCCCAGAUCUUCUCGGCUUAUCAGCUGAGGACUGACGCUGCCCAAUCGCCUCGCAAGCCUCCUGGACCAUCACAGACACUUCAGACAGGAAUGUCAGGCCUCUGAACCCAAGCUAAGCCAUCAUAUCUCCUGUGACCUGCACGUAUACAUCCAGAUGGCCUGAAGCAACUGAAGAACCACAAAAGAAGUGAAAAUAGCCAGUUCCUGCCUUAACUGAUGACACUUCACCACUGUGAUUUAUUCCUGCCCCAUCCUAACUGAUCUUGUGACAUUCCUUCUCCUGGGCAAUGAAUCUCAGGAACUCCCCACCAAGCACCUUGUGACCCCUGCCCCUGCCCACAAGAGAACAACCCCCUUUAACUGUAAUUUUCCACUACCUACCUAAAUCCUAUGAAACUGCCCCACCCCUAUCUCUCCCCUUUUGCUGACUCCUUUUUCGUAUUCAGCUCACUUGCACUCAGGUGAUUAAAAAGCUUUAUUGCUCACACAAAGCCUGUUUGGUGGUCUCUUCACACAGAUGCGGGUAACACCAAUAGGCAGUAGGUAGACAUGAGCACGGGGGAAUUAAAGGGUCAAAGAUUUGACCAAAAUAUUGGUUGGGGGAAAAUGAGGAGAGUGAAAAUCACCUGGUGACCACUGAACAGGUCCCAGAGACUAAAACUCCUAAUCUGAGGAAUUUAGAAGGGAAGAAAGACCACCUGGUGACCAUCAAAGAGGCCAUACAGAGGCAAAACUCCUUAUCUGGGAGAAAAUUAGAAGUAAUUAGACUUCCCUGCGGGGCAUGGUGGCUCACACUUGUAAUCCCAGCA
rnacentral:lncRNA from 10 species